GGCGAGAGGUGACGAGGGUCUGGAGCGCACGCCUGGCACGGUGCUGGAGUCACACUGCAGAAACAUUCCCGCUGCUUUCCCUCUGAGGAUGGC